rnacentral:misc_RNA from 1 species
CUUCGACACUUUUCCUCGCGACCCUUUUCGUGGCUCCUCGUUGGAGCAUUUGCUCCUCUCUGUAACCAAAAUAAAUACCCAUUUCCAAAUCGCUGAGCUGAAGGCCUUCUCCUAUAUUAAUCUUUCCCUCCCUCCUUUUGCGCUUCUUCUCUCUCUGUAAUCAUUGGCUAAUCAAUGGCCGCAUCUCAAGCCAGUCUCCUCCUCCAGAAGCAGCUCAAAGAUCUCUGUAAGAAACCAGUUGAUGGAUUCUCCGCGGGUUUGGUCGAUGAGAAUAAUGUAUUUGAAUGGAGUGUUUCAAUUAUGGGACCCCCUGAUACCUUAUACGAAGGUGGGUUCUUUAGUGCCAUCAUGAGCUUUCCACAGAACUAUCCCAUCAGUCCUCCAACUGUGAGGUUCACUACAGAGGUGUGGCAUCCAAAUGUUUACCCUGAUGGAAAGGUUUGCAUAUCAAUUCUUCA